GAUCCUGGCUCAGGACGAACGCUGGCGGCGUGCCUAACACAUGCAAGUCGAGCGGAGACAGUGAGUAGCUUGCUACGAACUGUUUUAGCGGCGGACGGGUGAGUAACGCGUGAGCAACCUUUCCCAGACAGGGGAAUAACACACCGAAAGGUGUACUAAUACCGCAUAAGACCACGGUUUCACAUGGAACUGAGGUAAAAGAUUUAUCGGUUUGGGGUGGGCUCGCGUCCGAUUAGGUAGUUGGUGAGGUAACGGCCC
rnacentral:rRNA from 1 species